AAUUUUUAUCUUAAAAUUUUAAAUUAGAAUUUUAAUUAUAUUAUUUAAAAUAAUAAUAAAAAAAAAAAUUUUUAUUAAAAAUUUUUAAAAAAAAAUAAUUAUUUUAUAAAAAAUUAGUAUAGUAAUAGAAUGAUGAAAUAAUUUAAAAAUUUAAGUUUUUAAAAGUAAAUUUAAUUUAUUGUAUCUUGUGUAUCAGAGAUUAUUAAUAAUAAAAUUUAUAUAAAUUUUUUUCGAAAUUUAAAGAGUUAAUUAAUUUAUUUUAGUUAUUGUUUUAUAAAUAUUAAUAAUAAUUAAUUAGUAAUGAAAUGUUAAUCGAUUUAAAUAAUAUCUAAUUUUUAAAGAAAUAAAUUUAAUUUAACUAUUAUAAUUAAAAAUUUAGAUUUAUAAAAAUUUAAUUUUAUUAAAAAUAGUAAUAUCAAAUGGGAUAAGCUUUUUGUUAUAAAUUUAAAUAAAAAAUUGAAUUAAUAAUAAAAAAUAUAAAAAUAAAAUUAUUUAUUAAUUAUAUUUUGUUAUAAAAAUUUUUAUUUUCUCUUAUAUUUUAAUAUAUAAAAAUAUUAAAAAUUUUAUUUAAAUAAGAAUUUUAUUUAUUUUUAAUUCUGUAAUAAUGAUAAUAUUAGUAUAAUUUAAAUAAUAAAUAAUUUUAUUAAAAAUUUAAUAUUAUUUUUAAGAAUUCGGCAAAAUUUAUGUAUUCGCUUGUUUAACAAAAACAUGUCUUUUUGAUAAAUAAUUUAAAGUCUAAUCUGCCCCCUGAAAUUAUUUUAAAGGGCUGCGGUAUUUUAACCGUACAAAGGUAGCAUAAUAAUUAGGUUUUUGAUUGAAAUCUAGAAUGAAUGAUUGGACGAGAUACAAGCUGUUUUAAAAUAAUUUAUUAAAACUUAAUUUUUUAGUCAAAAAGCUAAAAUUUUAUUAAAAGACGAGAAGACCCUAUAAAUCUUUAUAGUAAAUUUAUUUUAAUAAAUUAUUUAAUUAAAAUUAAUAAUUUAAUAAUUAAAACUAUUUUAUUGGGGUGAUAAAAAAAUUUAAUAAACUUUUUUAAUUUAAUUUCUUAAAUUAUAGAUUUUAAAAUUUAUGAUCUAUUAAUAAUAAUUCAAAGAAUAAGAUACUUUAGGGAUAACAGCGUAAUUUUAAUUUUAAGUUCUUAUUAAAAUUAAAGAUUGCGACCUCGAUGUUGGAUUAAAAUUUAAUUUAAAUGCAAAAAUUUAAAAAUUAAGUCUGUUCGACUUUUAAAAUUUUACAUGAUCUGAGUUCAAACCGGUGUAAGCCAGGUUGGUUUCUAUCUUUAAUAAAAAUAAAUUUUUUAGUACGAAAGGAUCGAAAAUUUUAAAUGAAUUUAUAGUAAAUAAUAUGAAAAAAAUUAAUAUAUUUAAUAUUUAAUU
rnacentral:rRNA from 1 species